rnacentral:rRNA from 1 species
GAUAUGAACCGUUAUAACCGGCGAUACCCGAAUGGGGAAACCCAGUGUGACUCGUCACACUAUCAUUAACUGAAUCCAUAGGUUAAUGAGGCGAACCGGGGGAACUGAAACAUCUAAGUACCCCGAGGAAAAGAAAUCAACCGAGAUUCCCCCAGUAGCGGCGAGCGAACGGGGAGGAGCCCAGAGCCUGAAUCAGCAUGUGUGUUAGUGGAAGCGUCUGGAAAGGCGCGCGAUACAGGGUGACAGCCCCGUACACAAAAGCGCAUGUGCUGUGAGCUCGAUGAGUAGGGCGGGACACGUGGUAUCCUGUCUGAAUAUGGGGGGACCAUCCUCCAAGGCUAAAUACUCCUGACUGACCGAUAGUGAACCAGUACCGUGAGGGAAAGGCGAAAAGAACCCCGGCGAGGGGAGUGAAAAAGAACCUGAAACCGUGUACGUACAAGCAGUGGGAGCACAGGUUUACCUGUGUGACUGCGUACCUUUUGUAUAAUGGGUCAGCGACUUAUAUUCUGUAGCAAGGUUAACCGAAUAGGGGAGCCGGAGGGAAACCGAGUCUUAAUUGGGCGUUAAGUUGCAGGGUAUAGACCCGAAACCCGGUGAUCUAGCCAUGGGCAGGUUGAAGGUUGGGUAACACUAACUGGAGGACCGAACCGACUAAUGUUGAAAAAUUAGCGGAUGACCUGUGGCUGGGGGUGAAAGGCCAAUCAAACCGGGAGAUAGCUGGUUCUCCCCGAAAGCUAUUUAGGUAGCGCCUCGUGAAUUCAUCUCCGGGGGUAGAGCACUGUUUCGGCUAGGGGGCCAUCCCGGCUUACCAACCCGAUGCAAACUGCGAAUACCGGAGAAUGUUAUCACGGGAGACACACGGCGGGUGCUAACGUCCGUCGUGAAGAGGGAAACAACCCAGACCGCCAGCUAAGGUCCCAAAGUCAUGGUUAAGUGGGAAACGAUGUGGGAAGGCCCAGACAGCCAGGAUGUUGGCUUAGAAGCAGCCAUCAUUUAAAGAAAGCGUAAUAGCUCACUGGUCGAGUCGGCCUGCGCGGAAGAUGUAACGGGGCUAAACCAUGCACCGAAGCUGCGGCAGCGACACUGUGUGUUGUUGGGUAGGGGAGCGUUCUGUAAGCCUGUGAAGGUGUGUCGUGAGGCAUGCUGGAGGUAUCAGAAGUGCGAAUGCUGACAUAAGUAACGAUAAAGCGGGUGAAAAGCCCGCUCGCCGGAAGACCAAGGGUUCCUGUCCAACGUUAAUCGGGGCAGGGUGAGUCGACCCCUAAGGCGAGGCCGAAAGGCGUAGUCGAUGGGAAACGGGUUAAUAUUCCCGUACUUGGUGUUACUGCGAAGGGGGGACGGAGAAGGCUAUGUUGGCCGGGCGACGGUUGUCCCGGUUUAAGCGUGUAGGUGUGUGUUCCAGGUAAAUCCGGUUCACUUUAACACUGAGGCGUGACGACGAGGCACUACGGUGCUGAAGCAACAAAUGCCCUGCUUCCAGGAAAAGCCUCUAAGCAUCAGGUAACAUCAAAUCGUACCCCAAACCGACACAGGUGGUCAGGUAGAGAAUACCAAGGCGCUUGAGAGAACUCGGGUGAAGGAACUAGGCAAAAUGGUGCCGUAACUUCGGGAGAAGGCACGCUGACACGUAGGUGAAGUGAUUUACUCAUGGAGCUGAAGUCAGUCGAAGAUACCAGCUGGCUGCAACUGUUUAUUAAAAACACAGCACUGUGCAAACACGAAAGUGGACGUAUACGGUGUGACGCCUGCCCGGUGCCGGAAGGUUAAUUGAUGGGGUCAGCGCAAGCGAAGCUCCUGAUCGAAGCCCCGGUAAACGGCGGCCGUAACUAUAACGGUCCUAAGGUAGCGAAAUUCCUUGUCGGGUAAGUUCCGACCUGCACGAAUGGCGUAAUGAUGGCCAGGCUGUCUCCACCCGAGACUCAGUGAAAUUGAACUCGCUGUGAAGAUGCAGUGUACCCGCGGCAAGACGGAAAGACCCCGUGAACCUUUACUAUAGCUUGACACUGAACAUUGAGCCUUGAUGUGUAGGAUAGGUGGGAGGCUUUGAAGUGUGGACGCCAGUCUGCAUGGAGCCGACCUUGAAAUACCACCCUUUAAUGUUUGAUGUUCUAACGUGGACCCGUUACCCGGGUUGCGGACAGUGUCUGGUGGGUAGUUUGACUGGGGCGGUCUCCUCCUAAAGAGUAACGGAGGAGCACGAAGGUUGGCUAAUCCUGGUCGGACAUCAGGAGGUUAGUGCAAUGGCAUAAGCCAGCUUGACUGCGAGCGUGACGGCGCGAGCAGGUGCGAAAGCAGGUCAUAGUGAUCCGGUGGUUCUGAAUGGAAGGGCCAUCGCUCAACGGAUAAAAGGUACUCCGGGGAUAACAGGCUGAUACCGCCCAAGAGUUCAUAUCGACGGCGGUGUUUGGCACCUCGAUGUCGGCUCAUCACAUCCUGGGGCUGAAGUAGGUCCCAAGGGUAUGGCUGUUCGCCAUUUAAAGUGGUACGCGAGCUGGGUUUAGAACGUCGUGAGACAGUUCGGUCCCUAUCUGCCGUGGGCGCUGGAGAACUGAGGGGGGCUGCUCCUAGUACGAGAGGACCGGAGUGGACGCAUCACUGGUGUUCGGGUUGUCAUGCCAAUGGCACUGCCCGGUAGCUAAAUGCGGAAGAGAUAAGUGCUGAAAGCAUCUAAGCACGAAACUUGCCCCGAG